GCUCAAAUAGUCAAGUGGUCAAGACACCUUGGAGUUACAGAUUGUUGCUUUUGUACUUUUAUUUCAAGGGGGCGGGGGUUCGAUUCCUCCUUUGAGUG